rnacentral:rRNA from 1 species
UACGUAGGGUGCGAGCGUUGUCCGGAAUUACUGGGCGUAAAGAGCUUGUAGGUGGUUUGUCGCGUUGUUCGUGAAAUCUCACGGCUCAACUGUGAGCGUGCGGGCGAUACGGGCAGACUAGAGUACUGCAGGGGAGACUGGAAUUCCUGGUGUAGCGGUGAAAUGCGCAGAUAUCAGGAGGAACACCGGUGGCGAAGGCGGGUCUCUGGGCAACAACUGACGCUGAGGAGCGAAAGCGUGGGGAGCGAACAGG